AUGCCAGCAAUCUUAGUUGCAAUCUUGUGGGUUGCAUCAGACACGACAUUGCAGGCCGGAGCAAGUUUGUCAGCGACAGCGUGACUAGUGUUUGUGAUCAUAUUGGCGCUAUUGUGGGUUGCGUUGGACACGGCAGCGCAGGUUUGUCGCCUCCCAGCAGUGAAGCUUCGUGCUUCAUGUUUGGCGUCCUAUGACUCUCGGAGAUGACAGGCUCCGCCCUCGGGUGCUGCCUUGCCGUCUCCUUCAGACAGUCGGGUGCUGCUUCGGACUCGUACACUGGAUUCAGAAAAGCAGACGAUAUUAGUUAGCAAUUUCGGGUAUAAAAAAUCCAUGAAAUCAAGAUUCAGUAAUAGGGUUGAUUGGUUAGCUACUUGGAGCGCCAAGGUACUCGGGAUCAUAGGCUUGUUCAUGAUCCAAGUCAUCUUCCAUCGUAGGGGUCAUGUGGUCGAAAUCAUGGUUGUGAUCGUGAUCGUGGUGGUGGCUCUGGCCGUGGUUUUGGUAGAGGCUCUGGCUCUGGCUAUGGCUAUGGCUCUGGUUGUAGUUGUGGUGGAAGUGUUGGAAGUAGCUUAGGUUGUGGUCGUCUUCGUGGAAUUCGAAUCCAUUCUUGCGGCGGGCGCUGAUGUUAUGCCUCCACUUCUUGGCUGUGUCUUUAACCAGAGAGAGAACAGACUUCUUGGUGUCGCCGGAAGUGCAGUAGCUGGGGCAGACUUCAUGAUCAUGACAUGAUCUACCUUGGGGCGACAACUUUGCCCAGUAUGCUUCUUCAUCUAUAUUAACAUUAUUUCAUUUCAACAUUCUCAAACAAAAUAUACUAUAAUAGGCAUGUUGGGUCCCGUUAUGUUGACAACUUUCUUAAAAAAUUGAUAACCGACAACUAUGUCAACACCAAGACAUUUGUAUGUCAAUCCAUAACAUAGAUUGUUGAUAUUAGUUAUCAAUUUAAGAUAGUUAUCAACUGAUCAUAUAUCUAGACAUGUUUAUUUAAAUAGAUUACCUCUUAGGAGCUGCUCAAAAGUGGGGGGUGGUUGAGAUUUAUGGCUGCUCUCUGAAAAUUUCUUUAUCCUCUCAAGUUGAGCCAUUUUUAUGUGUUGUUGAAAUGAAAUGAGAAAAAUAUAUAUACCAACCCUUUUUCUAAGGCAGGUAUUUCGGCUUCUUCAGUGGACUAUAAUCUAAAUCUAAAUUUAAAUUCUGCCUUUGGCUAUUGCAAUUUUCUAAUAUGCGACUCCUUGUAAUUAUACUUUAAAUAGUAAUUUGACUGGGUCCUGCUUUACGCUC